rnacentral:rRNA from 1 species
UACGUAGGGGGCAAGCGUUGUCCGGAUUUAUUGGGCGUAAAGAGCGUGUAGGCGGCUAGGUAGGUGGGUUGUGAAAACUGGAGGCUCAACCUUCAGACGUCGACCCAAACCCCCUGGCUAGAGUCCGAAAGAGGAGAGUGGAAAUUCCUGGUGGUAGCGGUGAAUGCGCAGAUAUCAGGAAGAACACCCGUGGCGAAGGCGGCUCUCUGGGACGGUACUGACGCUGAGACGCGAAAGCGUGGGGAGCGAACA